UGAUUGAUGAUUUAUGAAUGGAGUUUUUAUUCCUUUUUUUUAACACUGAAAAUGGGGAAUGAGUUAAUGAGUAAGUGAUCCUCUCGCAUGACAAGAGCAAAGUCCUCCACGUGGCCUUUGAUUAAACAAAACAGCACCGACAGAAAUGUACACAAAGAAACAGCAUCCCACCCCUACUGUAGAAUACGCACAGUACACUUGUAGUAUGUGCCAGUACUGUGUUUGUAAGAGUCUUUUGAUUUGACCGUGUGUAAAAGUUAAAUAUGCAAAAGUCAUUUCAUUUGCUCUGAAAAUGUUUGAGAUAUUUCAAGAG